CAGACGCGUCCCCCGCCCGUAACGAGCUUCUGGUUUAGCCAACAUUUUCAAGGUUUCCCAAAGCAGAAGAUUUUUCCAAACGAACCAUCGUCAAGGUUUCCAGCUGGGCGCGUUCCCUUGGGACCUCCGACCCGAAUUCAGCCCGCCGGAGACUCCCGCUGUGCAGGCGAGAAUUCGCAGUCCCCUAAGCCAGGAAGGAUUUCUCCCGAACAGAACAUAAAAGAAAACAUAGCUGGAGGUACCCAGACAUUCAACGGGAGACUCCGUUUCGGCAAGAAUGGAGUCGUCCAGAAGAAUCCCUCCUGGAAGGGCAGCGCGAAUCAGAACGCAGGUCGCCAAGGUGACAGUGGCAGAACUAAAAGAUCCCGGGGAGUCGGGAUUGUCGGAGUCGGGCUGUGAAGUGCCCGACAGGAAGUUGGAAGAUGUGAGAUGAAAGGAGCGUUUUGCCGUGAUACCAAACGGAGCCCAAAGGCCCGGCGCUAAGAAACUUUAUCUCGAGGGAAAAAACCCAAGGAAAUCUGCACCGGGAAACAGAUCCGCCUCACAGUACACUGAAGCUUUAGAGGAUUGCUCCGAACGGAAAAGUCAGAAACAAUCAAUUUCAAAAACGAAUUGCGGAACUGACACGGAAGUGAAAACCCUCUUCUUUCUAAACUGUCACGGGCGACGAGCGAAUGUAUUAUUUUGAAAGGCUGCGUCUUGGGUGACGCCGUGAAUUCCAUUUCUUCAUUCGAGUUAUUUACCAAGUGAUUAGACCGGAGAAAUUAAUUAGAAUUUUAUGAGGUCAUUUUUCUGGUAACCUAAAAAAAAAAUGGACUGCAUCAAUUGUGCCUAUUUACUGCCAUUAUUCAAUAUUGAUUUUGCUUUAUGAUCUUA